GUCUCAAUUGACGCAAAAGGCUGCAAUCCAUCUCCCAUUUCACAUUUCACAUUUCACAUUUUUUCUUUGGGUUUGUUGGUUGGAACGGGUCUCGUCUCGUCUCAGCCCCACACACACACACCACUCACUCACUCACUCACUUCUAUCAUCCCUCGCCGCACUCUCUCCUCUGUAACCGUAACUUCUGAAUCUGAAUCUGAACCGAUCUCGCUACGUGUCAUCGCCGCUGCAUCACUACGUGUUGCAUGCCUAACCACCAAGGCCACCACCACCUCCUCCAUCCUCACAAUGAAUGAAGAGAGAGAAUAGAGAGAGGGAAUACGGUUGGACUUUGGAGUCUGUGGUUCUUGUCUUUUCAUCUUUCCUUUUCUCCUUCUUAAUCCCUGCUUUCUUCCUCCUUUUUUUUCCUGUUUAUGCAGGAAACCCUAAUUUCUGAAAUCUUCUAAUAAUUGUCUCUUAAAACAAGAAUACGCUGUGUGGAUCAAGGACAUUUUCGUUUUCUUCUAUUCUUAUCCGUUAAUGCUUCAGAUCUGUUUCGAUAAUGAAAGUAAUAGAACAGAUGUUAUGUAUAUUCUUUGUGUGAGGGUUUCCAAAUUUGGGCAUGUUUUGCAGCCUGGGCUCUUGAUUAUUUAUUUUCUCUUGGAACAUAGAAAUUGACAGAAGAGAGUGAGCACACAGAAGCACUCGUUAUAAUUCUAUACCGUUGCUCUUGCGUGCUCACUUCUCCUUCUGUCAGCUUCCAGUGCCGGAAAAAUGAAAAUCACCGCCCGUGUGAUCUGCAUCUGCAUCUGCCUCUGCUUCGUUCCAAACCCCCAAACCCAAAAUCUAACCCUCUCUUUCUUUCUCUCUCGACAUUUUGGCGGAGCAAGCAGACCAGCGACCAUCACUGACUACUGCGCCAGGUUAUAUCAUUAUCAAACAGUGAAAAAAAGGAAGAAGCUUUUGUUUGUUUCUUUCUUUAGCCCUUGUUUUUAUUUUUAUCUCUUUACUGUUUCUUUCAAUUUUGUUAUUUUAAUCAUUGCUCGUGGUUCCAUUAGUAAUUUUUAUAAAUUAUCUUUGUUGUUAUCAAACGGAAAAGCGUGACUUUUGAUGCAAUAGCCCUAUUUCCUUGCCAGGAUCAACGAACCCCCAACAUUUUAAAAUUAAUAUUAAUAAAUAUAUUUAUACUAACACUUCCCCUUUUAUCUUGUUUUUUAUAACAUUGAUAUAUAGCAGUACAUAGCAUGGAGCCAUUUCACGUCACAUAGCAUGGUCCUCACCAAUUUUUUCUCCUUGCUUCAAUGGACAUCACAAUUAUGCUGAUUUCGUCCCUUUCCAUAUAUUUAUUUUUGCUAGAUCUUGUGCAUGCCAGUGGUUCCCUUACUCGGUAACUGUUACUGUUUCUAACUUUCUUCUUGUUGGUUAUGUGUUUGUUCUUUCCUGCAACUCAACGUUAUGAUGCAUAGAUUCUGGUUUCAUUGUAUUCUUGGACAAUAAGAAUUUCAAAAGGGGUGUUUCUUUUCUGUUCUUAAUAUUUAUUGCUUUUUUUUUAGUUUAUCCUUUUCUUUUUUGAAAUAUUAUUUGUGGUUUAUGAUCUGAUAAACCCUAUCUACCUAACUCUACAGUUGCUUGUUUUGUGUCUGUGACUGACCAAAUUGUUUGACUAUAUGAGCAUCCUUUUAAUCAUCAAUUCAAGGAGCAAUAAAUAUGGUUUUGGAAGUUCAGUUUUUUUCCCUCUCUGGUGUAUUGUGAUAUGAUGUAACAAUAAUAAUAUGCUGGCCGAGUAAAAUUAUUGGGAUUUCUCUUGAUAUUGAUUGAUUUUUAUGCAUACAAAAGCUGCAGCCGGCCUGUACUUUUUCUUCUUUGAUGCAGAUGAUAAAUAUGGGCAUAGACUUGGAUUGUUCGUACACUUCUUCCUUGUAGAGAUAACGUGCUGUCCGACCCAUAAGCAUGUUAAAAUGUUGGAAAACAAGAAUCAUUAUACCAAUGUGAAAUCAAUGUCUUGAAAUCGAGCAUUAACAAUCUCCAUAGGAUUCUUUUCACAUAUAUUAUUAUCAUCUUUCGGUGGAGACAAUAUAUGCACUCCCACCAGCAAAAAGACAGUAAAGAGAUUAAAUAGGGCUUUGUUGGAGAAAUGCACCUUCUGAAAUCAUUAUUCUGAAGCAUGAAUGGAGAUUAAAUUUAUAUUUCUAGCAAUGGAUACUAUUCAAUCUAUGAUAGCUGUUGAUCAGCCAACAACAGGUCCCUCCAAAAUUGCAUCCACUUAAUUUUUCAACUUUUGAACCGACCUUUGAUGGAGACAAUAUAUACACUCCCACCAGCAAGAUGACGGUUUGAAAGCUAAUAUCCUAGAUGGUGGAACAGGUUGCCGUGUUGGAAAAGGGCUCCAAUUGAUAGGUACGAGAUUCCGGGGAAAUUUUUCUGGACAGGCAAUGGUUUCAACUGAAUCUUCUUUGAAGCUCCUAGUAGCGAGUAUAUUAAAAUUUAACUUGUCAUUAUGUUUGCUUUUGUGUUAUGUCAUAUGUGAUAAAUAGUGCUAUUAUGUAUAUACAAGCUUUCUCAAUUUUGUAUUCUCUCCUCUAACCUUGUCAGGGUAUCAAAUUGUGCAAAUUAAUAGCUACUAUCUAUGUAAACCACUAAACCAACCAGAAAAAGGAUAAUACUAUCUAUUUCUCGGUAGAAUAUAAUCAUAUUGAAGUAAAAACAUAUAUAGGCCACUUUUCCUUAAGACACCAAAUUAAAUAUUGAGGACUAAACGUAUACUUAAUUAGGCCUAGCCCUUGAUCAUCUUUAUAUAGUAUAUUAGGAUGAAUGCAGUUGCUUUGUACCUAGCUUUCUGACUUAAAAGAAGGCCAUUUUUGGUGAGUUUGAUGGGGAAAAUGUGACUUACAUGCAAUUAUUACACACAAUUUCCCCUUUCAUAUAUCCCAAAACAACCAUACCAUAUAUAAAAAAUUAGUCAGUUAUUUGUAUAAAAUAUAUGUUAAAAUAUAAAAUAUAAAUUAAAAAUAAAUUAAAUGACACAUGUAUUUAGUAUUUAUAUAAAUAGUGAUUGAUUUUUGUUGUGCACAUCACAUUUUUAGUACUGAAAAUAUUCAUAGACAAUAAUAUAUAGUAUGUUUGAUUUGGAAAUUAGAACGGGAUGAAAACAUUCAUAGAUACAAAAUUACAAUUAGCUAUAAAAAUUGUUACACAUUUUUUAUGCCAUUGUUAUAUAUGAUCUCACAUUGAAUA